UCCGGGUUGGUCCCGGCGGUCCCGCCAGACUUCGUAACUGGCAGCAGGGGUUGCGCUCGUUGCGGGACUUAACCCAACACCUCACGGCACGAGCUGACGACAGCCGUGCAGCACCUGUGCGCGCUCCCUCGCGGGUCCCUCACCUUUCGGCUCGGUACCACGCGCAUGUCAAGCCUGGGUAAGGUUCUUCGCGUCGCGUCGAAUUAAACAACAUGCUCCGCUGCUUGUGCGGGUCCCCGUCAAUUCCUUUGAGUUUUAGCCUUGCGGCCGUACUCCCCAGGCGGGGUGCUUAAUGCGUUAGCUUCGGCACGGACAGAAUGAACUGCCCACACCAAAUAUGCAUCGUUUAGGGCGUGGACUAC
rnacentral:misc_RNA from 1 species